UACGUAGGGUCCAAGCGUUAAUCGGAAUUACUGGGCGUAAAGCGUGCGCAGGCGGUUCUGAAAGUCAGCUGUGAAAGCCCCGGGCUUAACCUGGGAAUUGCGGUUGAAACUACAGGGCUAGAAUCUGGCAGAGGGGGGUGGAAUUCCACGUGUAGCAGUGAAAUGCGUAGAGAUGUGGAGGAACACCGAUGGCGAAGGCAGCCCCCUGGGCUAA
rnacentral:rRNA from 1 species